AGUUUGCAAUUUUUCAAGAAAUAAUUUUAUUUAUCUAACUUUUUUUUAAACUGUACUGAAAACCAACACAGGUAACUAUUUAGACGUUGGGGUAAUUAUUUUUAAGGAACUCGGCAAAAAAAUUCUCUAACUUAGGGAUAAAGAAAGCCUCUUAAACGAGGUAUAAUAAAAAGUGGAUAGCGACUGUUUUUUAAAAACACAAAACCUUGCUAAAUUGUAAAAUAAUGUAUAAGGUUUGACGCCUGCCCAGUGUUGAAUUUUGAAUCAAGAAAGCUUUUACGGUUUUUUUGCUAAAAAUCAAUAAACGGCAGUCGUAACUCUAACGAUUCUAAGGUAGCAAAAUUCCUAGUCAAUUAAUUGUUGACCUGCAUGAAUGGCGUAACGACUUUCCAACUGUCUCAAAGAUAAUCCCAGUGAAAUUAAAUUUUGCGUGAAGAUGCGUAAUUAUAUAAACAAGACGGAAAGACCCUAUAAACCUUAACUAUAAAUUUUCAUUGUUAUUUUUUAUUUUUUGUUUAGUAUAAGUGGUAGCUGUUUGAAUCCUUAACGCAAGUUAACUGAUUAGGCAAAAGUGAAAUCCCACUCUAAAAAUAAAAUUUAACUAAUUAAAUUGAAAGUGAAAGUUUUUUAGUUUGAUUGGGGCGAUCACCUUUUAAAUUGUAACAAAGGUCUGCAAAAGUAAGCUCAAAAUCAGUAAAAGCGAUUUUUAGAGUGUAAUAGCAUAAGCUUAUUUGACUGUAAGAUAAACAGAUCGAACAGAAAUUUUAGUUGGUUAUAGUGAUCCGAAAAUUUUGUAUGGAUAAAUUUUCGCUUACGGAAUUAAAGGUACUUUAGGGAUAACAGGCUUAUAACUUUUACGAGUUCGUAUCAAUAAAGUUGUUUGGCACCUCGAUGUCGGUUCGUCAUAUCCUAGUGCUGAAAAUUGGUGCUAAGGGUUCAGCUGUUCGCUGAUUAAAAUGGCACGUGAACUGGGUUAAAAACGCUGUAAAGCAGUUUGGUCCCUAUCUGUUUAUAUCAAAAAGAAUAAAAGAAUUUUGUUUCUAGUACGAGAGGACCGAAAUAAAAAAACCAAUUGUUUGUCAGUUUUUUUGCCAAAAAUCACUGGUUAGCUACGUUUUUAUUGUUUAAUUGCUG
rnacentral:rRNA from 1 species